rnacentral:rRNA from 1 species
UACGAAGGGUGCUAGCGUUGUUCGGAAUCACUGGGCGUAAAGCGCACGUAGGCGGAUGUGUCAGUCAGGGGUGAAAUCCCGGAGCUCAACUUCGGAACUGCCUUUGAUACAGCACGUCUUGAGUCCGGAAGAGGUGGGUGGAAUUCCUAGUGUAGAGGUGAAAUUCGUAGAUAUUAGGAAGAACACCGGUGGCGAAGGCGGCCCACUGGUCCGGUACUGACGCUGAGGUGCGAAAGCGUGGGGAGCAAACAGG